GAAGAAUACUUUCAUGUCAAUCACAAAUGCUUUUGUUAUGUGACUAAACAACUUUACUCAACCUAACGAUCAAUUUAAUUGUCACUCUUAUAUAUAUUCGAAGGAUUGCAAGUGGAUCCACCGCACACAUGAUUUCCGAACUUUAGAUUUAUCUUUAACUAUAUAUGUAAAACAUAAAAUCAAGAAUUAAUUUUUUUUGUUUCUGUUGAAUUAUUUGUAUGUAGGGCUUUUUAAUUUUUUUUUUAAUUUUUUUGUUGCUUCAUGCUUCUAGAAUCUCAAGACCGACACUCAUAAGUGACUAUCAUUCCUAACCAUGGGCAUUCAUCUUAAAAGUCAACUUUUAAUUAAUUACAAUUUACAAGUAUGAUUUGUUGUGGUUAGUGUUGACCAAUAAAUUAAUGUGUUGGUUUUUCUUGUACUAUUUUACCUAACACCUAAACGUAGUAGCAGCUAGAGCUUAAGGCAACCAAAGUCCUCUCUUUUGCUUUUACACAACCAUAACUGUUGGCUGAAUUUAUAAAGAGAUAGAAUUAUAGCUAUUUGGUGGUUUAACGAUUAUUUCCUUUUCAUAAAUAUAUUCUUAUCAUCAUUAUAUGACACGUAUUUAUGAGCAUAAUUAUAGUUAACUUUUUGCUUUCUACUAUGGACACGUAAGUAUUGAGAAGGGUGAUUAUCAUAUACCUUAGGUUAAAGUGGUAAGCAAAAAUACUUCCGUUCAUUUAACUCACAGUACAGUCGACAGUUGAAGAGAAAAAAUAAACCACAAAAUGAGGCACACCAAUAAGUGUGAACCAAUUAAAAGCACUUUUGUGUUGCAUAUUAAUUGAUGAACAUGGAGAUGUACAGCAUGGGUAGGACCAUUGGACCAUCUAAUUAACCUGCAAGUUACUGAGAUCACCCAUUGAGAGAGUUUGACUUUUUUUUCC
rnacentral:lncRNA from 1 species